AAUGGUGGCUAUGGCUCCGGUGAGCACCUCUUCCCAUCCCGAACAGAGAAGUUAAGCCCGGACGCGCCGAUGGUACUGGUGUCACAGCCGGGAGAGUAGGUGGCCGCCAACC
rfam:Pontibacter ummariensis strain NKM1 genome assembly, contig: Ga0139000_160